AUAUGUCGCAGUCAUCUGGUUUAUUCUGCGAUUCGAUUGAAUGACUAGCGCAUUUAUUGAAUGACGCCAUUCAAUCGAAUGACUAAAGGACAACUCGUCAAGACGUUGACUGUGACAUUUAACGUCUGGACUAAAAGUCAUAUAGUAAAGUCGUUAAAUGGGAUGCUAUAUUUUUUUUAAGUAGCCUUUAAUAUAUUAUAUCUUUUUAAGGCUAUAU